GCUCGCAUAGCUCAGCUGGAUAGAGCAGUCGCAGCCCGACGCGGGACGACAGGUCGCAGGUUCAAAUCCUGCUGCGAGCC
rnacentral:tRNA from 1 species